rnacentral:lncRNA from 1 species
ACCUGACAUAUAAUAGUAGCCACAAAUAUUUCUUAAAUAAAUGAAUGAAAACCAAGUCAUUAGAGUACCACUGUAAUUUUUUCCUAAGUGCUCAGUUUCCUGGUGUUUGCUUGUUAGUGAUGACUCCUUGCCUUCCAAGGUAAAUGGAAAGGAAGGAAAGGAAGGAAAAACUUCAAGGACCCAUUGUCACAACAUUUGCAGCCCCCAAAGAAUAACUAGAAUUAUCUUAUCCACCUUCUGGCUUACUAACACAGGCUCCUUCUGCAUCUAAUCACCUCUCAUUCCUUUUUUCCCUUACCCCAUUUGACCUUUAUGAAGUUGUCCAACAUUUCCUCACAACUGAAAAAAACAAUUUCUAUUGCUGCAGGUGUCCAUAUGUUUGGGGCAAAAAUGAGCCACUGCUAACAAUUGUAAAGAAAGAGAGAACAGCUGUUUGCAUCUGAAUAUGGGGUAAGAAAGAACAGCUGCUGGCAGCUGUGGCAGACAAGAAAGUGAGCAAAUGAGCAGCUGUUGGUAAUUCAGAUUCUCAUCAGCCACAUGGAAUAAUUGAAAUCCAGAAGAAGCAUGUAGGGCUCAACUUAACAGCUUUACUGCAUCCUGCUCUUCAUUAGAUCCUGCCUGUCCUCCAUUAGAGACAUUCCUAUGAUAGCUAUGGUGAGGACUCUCAGCAGGAAUAUCUACCCCCACAUCCCCAUCCACAACCCUUUGAAGAAGCAACCCAAGAGAGGUAAAAUGGCACAGCCUUUUCUUCCAAAGAAACAAUGAAACUACUUCUACCAAUGGCAUAUAUGUGACUGAGAAAAUACUUCCUCUACUCAACGGAUCAAUUAGAAACAUCCCUGAAGUUGUACACUCAAAGCAUCUUAAAAUGGAGACUACCAUGGUGAGUUAUGUGGCCCAAGCAGACUUAAUGAACUCCCACAUUAUGAAUGAUGAGAGACAGAGAAAAUUAGCCAACUUCUAAAUGUGUUUUCAACUGUAAGAUAGGAUUCUAUGACUUGAAUUAAGAGAAGAGAGAGAAAGACUGAUUUUUCAGAAAUUAAUUUCACAGCAUCUGACUCUUAAUUUUCCAACCAGAAUGGCCCAAGACAAAGUUCUAGUAGUUUUGUGCUCUAGGUGGAUGACUUUUGUCCAAGUGAAAUUGUUUUGUGUAGCUAUUCACAGCUCCCUUCUCAGGUCCAAGGUUUGUUCCCUGGUCUGACACUGGAAGAAGUGUUUGAACUUUAA